AUUAUCUUUUAAUUUAUAUGUCAUCCUUCUGACUUCUUUGUGGGUGUGUGUAUGAACUCAGAGGACUGAAAAAAUUGAGUUUGCUUUGGUAGAUCCAGGAUUCAUGGAUGAGGCCUUUUUGCAAGGACAAAUAUUCAUGAAGGAGAAAUGGUCCUCGAAUACCGCGGUGAACAAGUUAGAUGUAGCAUUGCAGAUCUCCGAGAAGCACGUUACCAUUCAGAAGGAAAAGAUUGCUAUCUUUUCAAGAUAAGCGAAGAGGUAGUGGUGGAUGCCACCGACAAAGGAAACAUAGCACGCCUGAUAAACCAUUCAGCAACU